UACAGAGGGGGCAAGCGUUGUUCGGAAUUACUGGGCGUAAAGCGCACGUAGGCGGCUUUGUAAGUUAGAGGUGAAAGCCCGGAGCUCAACUCCGGAAUUGCCUUUAAGACUGCAUCGCUCGAAUCCAGGAGAGGUGAGUGGAAUUCCGAGUGUAGAGGUGAAAUUCGUAGAUAUUCGGAAGAACACCAGUGGCGAAGGCGGCUCACUGGACUGGUAUUGACGCUGAGGAGCGAAAGCCAGGGGAGCAAACGGG
rnacentral:rRNA from 1 species